AUUGAACGCUGGCGGCAGGCAUAACACAUGCAAGUCGAGCGAGCGGCGGACGGGUGAGUAAUGUCUGGGAAACUGCCUGAUGGAGGGGGAUAACUACUGGAAACGGUAGCUAAUACCGCAUACGAUCAGAUGUGCCCAGAUGGGAUUAGCUAGUAGGGGGGGUAACGGCUCACCUAGGGGACGAUCCCUAGCUGGUCUGAGAGGAUGAUCAGCCACAGUGGAACGGUGACACGGUCCAGACUCCUACGGGAGGCAGCAGUGGGGAAUAUUGAACAAUGGGCGCAAGCCUGAUGCAGCCAUGCAGCGUGUGUGAAGAAGGCCUUCGGGUUGUAAAGAACUUUCAGCGGGGAGGCGUUACUCGCAGAAGAAGCACCGGCUAACUCCGUGCCAGCAGCCGCGGUAAUAC
rnacentral:rRNA from 1 species